rnacentral:rRNA from 1 species
UACGUAGGUCCCGAGCGUUGUCCGGAUUUAUUGGGCGUAAAGCGAGCGCAGGUGGUUUAUUAAGUCUAGUGUAAAAGGCAGUGGCUCAACCAUUGUAUGCAUUGGAAACUGGUAGACUUGAGUGCAGGAGAGGAGAGUGGAAUUCCAUGUGUAGCGGUGAAAUGCGUAGAUAUAUGGAGGAACACCGGUGGCAAAAGCGGCUCUCUGACCUGUAACUGACACUGAGGCUCGAAAGCGUGGGGAGCAAACAGG